GAUGAACGCUGGCGGCGUGCCUAAUACAUGCCAGUCGAGCGAACAGACGAGGAGCUUGCUCCUCUGACGUUAGCGGCGGACGGGUGAGUAACACGUGGAUAACCUAUCUAUAAGACUGGGAUAACUUCGGGAAACCGGAGCUAAUACCGGAUAAUAUAUUGAACCGCAUGGUUCAAUAGUGAAAGACGGUUUUGCUGUCACUUAUAGAUGGAUCCGCGCCGCAUUAGCGAGUUGGUAAGGUAACGGCUUACCAAGGCAACGAUGCGUAGCCGGCCUGAGAGGGUGAUCGGCCACACUGGAACUGAGACACGGUCCAGACGCCUACGGGAGGAAGCAGUAGGGAAUCUUCCGCAAUGGGCGAAAGCCUGACGGAGCAACGCCGCGUGAGUGAUGAAGGUCUUCGGAUCGUAAAGCUCUGUUAUUCGGGAAGAACAAAUGUGUAAGUAACUAUGCACGUCUUGACGGUACCUAAUCAGAAAGCCACGGCUAACUACGUG
rnacentral:rRNA from 1 species